UCUGGUAGCUCAGCUGGUUAGAGCAAAGGACUUAAAAAAUCCUUCAGUGGUUCGAAUCCACAUCUGAGCG